GGGAAGGUGCACAAAUAUCUGGCAUUCAGACUUGCCUCCUGGCAGAAGAUGAAGGCCCGAAACAAGACCUGUCCCAGAAGCUGUUAGCUUCUGUAGUCCAUACUCUCACCUGUGCAGAGUAGUCUCGGAGGAGUCCAGGAUCCAAGAUGUCUCCUGAAGUUGCUCAGGCAAAGCCCUCCCGGGCUGGGCGGACACCUAUCCUCUGGCAGGGAAGGUGCCCGGAUGUCUGGAGCCCGAAAAGGGGGCUGCCUCAGAAGCUCUGUGGUUCCCACUUGUCCCAGAAGCUGUUAGCUUCUAUAGUCCACACUCUCACCUGUGCAGAGUAGUCUCGGUGGAGUCCGGGAUCCAAGAUGUCUCCCGCAGAUGCUCCGUCCUUGGCUUUCUAAUCCCCCUGUUUCCACCCACUUAGCGCUGGGCUUACAUGUACGGUCGGAUGGCUAUGGCCCAGCAGAGAGUAAUAGGUUUCAGUGUAACAAUUUUUACUUACUAAGUUCAAGUCAUCUAUUUUAUUUUUUCCUUGCUCACAGAGUCCGGGGAAAUUGCCUCAUUAUAACUGAAGUGACUCUACUGGAGUGUGGGUGGCCUUGCAGUGAGACCUUGCUUGGGGAAAUUGUUAAGUAUGGUAUUUGUUUUAACACUACAAUUUUGUAUUAUGUACAUUUUAAAAGACAUAAACUAUAAAUUUUCAGCUCCCUUCUGAGAGGAAAAAAAGAGGCCUUGAAGGAUCUUACAGUCCUUACUUAGAAGAUUUUGUAAGUUUGACAACAGUUACAGGACAGCUAACCACUCAGGUUCACAUUCACAUGGCAAACCUUGAUCCUGUAGGGCAACUAGGCCACUGCUUGGGGAGAGCAUGGACCCUGCACAGCUUAGGGGACCUGGCUACUCUCACAUCCCCUGAAAACAGGUCUUUCUGACUAUUACAUUUUUAGCUUCUCACAGAUUGUCCUUGGACUUCCCCAAGGCCUCCACCAGUCUCCACCCACCUUCCCAAUCUCUCCUCUCUCUUCUCUCCUCUCUCUCUCUCUCUCUCUCUCUCUCUCUCUCCCUUCUCCCUCUUCU
rnacentral:lncRNA from 1 species